UACGUAGGGUGCGAGCGUUAAUCGGAAUUACUGGGCGUAAAGCGUGCGCAGGCGGUUCGUUGUGUCGGCGGUGAAAGCCCCGGGCUCAACCUGGGAAUGGCCGUUGAAACUGGCGAACUGGAGUGUGGCAGAGGGGGGUGGAAUUCCGCGUGUAGCAGUGAAAUGCGUAGAGAUGCGGAGGAACACCGAUGGCGAAGGCAGCCCCCCUGGGUUAACACUGACGCUCAGGCACGAAAGCGUGGGGAGCAAACAGG
rnacentral:rRNA from 1 species